GGGAAGAGGGAGGGGAAUGGAUACGACCCCGCACCCACCACAGGAAUCACAGCCUGAGCGAUCCCGGAGCUGGAUCCGCCCCUUCCCUCUCCCUGUGGAAAGGCAGGAGCUGUUGGCAGAGCUCAUCCUGCUGCUCCCACCCAGCCCGGCCCCCCUGCGGCUCUUCCCGAUGGAUCAAUUUCCUGCUUUUUCCCAUGUGAAACCCAGGACCACAAUUAUUCCGGAGGCUUUAAUUUGGGUGUGAAAAUCUCCUGCUUUGGGCAAUAAAUCCUGGCUCCCUC